CAAUUUUAGGUCAGUAGCGAUCGUAAACGUCCAGAGACCUCAGCCUUAAAAUUUUGAAUGGUACUAUCUCCCAGUAGUAUUCGCAGAUGAAACCAAUAACCAGGCAUAUUUUGUGCCAGGACUAUCCCGACUUUAGCGCUCAAUGUGCUUUGUUUAAGGGACUCGAAGUCGACGAGGGUCGAGGGUACCAGGUUAAAAAAACCGAAGAUUAACAGUAGUUCCAUGUCUAGCUGCACUUUUCCUACAUAUUGUUAAGGGUUCGUUUUCCCUAUAGCUGCUACAAGUAGUGAUCGUACAUCGGAUUGUAAGGUGCGUUCUGAAAAUUUACUAGUUAUAUUACCCAUUGUUGUUGACUACUGUUAAAAUUAAUAUUUGGAUGAACCUUA